rnacentral:rRNA from 1 species
CACGUAGGGCGCGAGCGUUGUCCGGAAUUAUUGGGCGUAAAGAGCUCGUAGGCGGCCUGUUGCGUCCGCUGUGAAAGCCCGGGGCUUAACCCCGGGUCGGCAGUGGAUACGGGCAGGCUAGAGGUAGGUAGGGGAGAAUGGAAUUCCCGGUGUAGCGGUGAAAUGCGCAGAUAUCGGGAGGAACACCGGUGGCGAAGGCGGUCCUCUGGGCCUUACCUGACGCUGAGGAGCGAAAGCGUGGGGAGCGAACAGG